CCCUUAGAUGUUCUGGGCCGCACGCGCGCUACACUGAUGCAUUCAACGAGUUUUUCCUGGUCCGAGAGGAAUGGGUAACCUUUUGAAAGUGCAUCGUGCUAGGGAUAGACUAUUGCAAUUAUUGGUCUUCAACGAGGAAUUCCUAGUAGACGUAGUUCAUCAGACUGCAUCGAUUACGUCCCUGCCCUUUGUACACACCGCCCGUCGCUCCUACCGAUUGGAUGAUCCGGUGAAGCCUCCGGAUUGGCGCGCACCUCGGUGCCGCCGAGAAGUUGGCUAAACCUUACCAUUUAGAGGAAGGUGAAGUCGUAACA
rnacentral:rRNA from 1 species